rnacentral:misc_RNA from 1 species
AACCGCCGUAUACCGAACGGUACGUACGGUGGUGUGAGAGGACGCUGAAUAAAAUUGUCAUUUCUCAAAU